GGGCUGCUGAAGAGUCCUGAACUAGGACGAAACGACCGUCCAGUGC
rfam:Schistosoma haematobium scaffold636_42, whole genome shotgun sequence.